CGCGGCCUAUCAGCUUGUUGGUGAGGUAAUGGCUCACCAAGGCGACGACGGGUAGCCGGCCUGAGAGGGCGACCGGCCACACUGGGACUGAGACACGGCCCAGACUCCUACGGGAGGCGGCAGUGGGGAAUAUUGCACAAUGGGCGAAAGCCUGAUGCAGCGACGCCGCGUGAGGGAUGACGGCCUUCGGGUUGUAAACCUCUUUCAGCAGGGAAGAAGCGAAAGUGACGGUACCUGCAGAAGAAGCGCCGGCUAACUACGUGCCAGCAGCCGCGGUAAUACGUAGGGCGCAAGCGUUGUCCGGAAUUAUUGGGCGUAAAGAGCUCGUAGGCGGCUUGUCGCGUCGACUGUGAAAACCCGCGGCUCAACUGCGGGCUUGCAGCCGAUACGGGCAGGCUAGAGUUCGGUAGGGGAGACUGGAAUUCCUGGUGUAGCGGUGAAAUGCGCAGAUAUCAGGAGGAACACCGGUGGCGAAGGCGGGUCUCUGGGCCGAUACUGACGCUGAGGAGCGAAAGCGUGGGGAGCGAACAGGAUUAGAUACCCUGGUAGUCCACGCUGUAAACGUUGGGCGCUAGGUGUGGGGGACCUCUCCGGUUCUCUGUGCCGCAGCUAACGCAUUAAGCGCCCCGCC
rnacentral:rRNA from 1 species